rnacentral:rRNA from 1 species
AAAUUGAAGAGUUUGAUCAUGGCUCAGAUUGAACGCUGGCGGCAGGCCUAACACAUGCAAGUCGAACGGUAACAGAAAGCAGCUUGCUGCUUUGCUGACGAGUGGCGGACGGGUGAGUAAUGUCUGGGAAACUGCCCGAUGGAGGGGGAUAACUACUGGAAACGGUAGCUAAUACCGCAUAACGUCGCAAGACCAAAGAGGGGGACCUUAGGGCCUCUUGCCAUCGGAUGUGCCCAGAUGGGAUUAGCUAGUAGGUGGGGUAAAG